UGGGGAAUUUUGGACAAUGGGCGAAAGCCUGAUCCAGCAAUGCCGCGUGUGUGAAGAAGGCCUUCGGGUUGUAAAGCACUUUUGUCCGGAAAGAAAUCCUUGGCUCUAAUACAGUCGGGGGAUGACGGUACCGGAAGAAUAAGCACCGGCUAACUACGUGCCAGCAGCCGCGGUAAUACGUAGGGUGCAAGCGUUAAUCGGAAUUACUGGGCGUAAAGCGUGCGCAGGCGGUUUGCUAAGACCGAUGUGAAAUCCCCGGGCUCAACCUGGGAACUGCAUUGGUGACUGGCAGGCUAGAGUAUGGCAGGAGGGGGGUAGAAUUCCACGUGUAGCAAGUGAAAUGCGUAGAGAUGUGGAGGAAUACCCGAUGGCGAAGGCAGCCCCCUGGGCAAAUACUG
rnacentral:rRNA from 1 species